UCCUUUUUAUGAUAUUCUAUUGUAUGGAUUCAGCACACAUAGUUUAUCGAUGCAACAAUCAAUGGAUGUUUGGGUUGUUUCUGCUUUUUGGCUCUUAGGAAUAAUGUUGUCACGAACAUACUUGUGCUUGCAUUUGUUUGAGUAACUGGUUUUCAAUUCUUUAGGGGCACAUACCUAGCAAUGGCAUUGCUGGGAAAUUUUCUGAAAAGCGUCCCUAGAAGACUGCACCUCACACCGUACUAGUCAGAACUGUGUCCUAGCCCUGCGCCUACAGCAAGGUCUUGGCAAGGAGAGUAAGACCACCCACCAUGAUUGGCUUAAACUCACAAGAUUCACACCCUGUGGCUGGUUUGAACCCCAUCACCUCUGAAGGACACAGAUACUCAGAGGAGAGCCAUUUGCAGAAGGCAGUGACCGUGAGCACAAACACAGUGACGCAGGGAUGGUGCUGGACAGUGACAACAAUCCAGUCAAGUCUUCCCUUUGUGGAAGUUUGAACACAAGACCAGCAAGAUGUUGACACCUUCACGGGCGUCAUGCAGAAGCAAAGAGAUCCAGAAGGAGACAGUUGGCAGAGCUGACAUGAGGUAGAAAGAAAAGCAACCAGAAGUCAGAGCCACAACUACGUGAAGCAGCCUCAUGAGAAUGGUGACAUUCUAGAGCUUCUCUUUCCUGGCAUACCAUUGUCAUCAAAGUAGCCUGGAGAGAGGAAAAUGGCAACGAGGCUGUCUGCUCUGCAAGCAAAUAUUGGUACCAUUCUAACGUGUCCGGAGAGAGAUUAGCUCACUCGCCUUCAUUUCUGGGACGCCAGCAAGACUCAGGAUGCCCAUCGGAAGCCAAAGGAACCUUCCUCCGGGAGAAUCCACAGCCAUGCAGGCUCUUCCCAGAACCCGCUGUUUUCUGCCUGCUGUACGUAUCUCUUGCUAUGUGACAAAUUACCCCCAAAACAAAAACACUUAUUUAUUGUUUGGAAACUCUGACAGUUUCCAUGAGCCAGGGAUUCAGAUGCGGAAUAGCUUGUCUGGAUGGAAGGACCCAAAGGCCGGGGCUGCAGUCAUCUGAAGGCUCCUUCUCACACGCGUCUGGCCGUCGGAAUGGUGCACAUAAUGUGCAGGCCCCAGUGCACAGUGAAAAGUCAUUAAGGACCGACUGGGGUGGGGAUGGAGUAUUGUGCAGGAGUGUGGUGAUGGUCGCAGGGUUCUGUGAGUACGCUAAAAACCAUUGGAAUGUGCACUUUACCUUUACAUAGUUUUUAUUUUAUUCUACUUUACUUCUUUUAAGAUUUAAUUAAAAAACACUUUUUAAAAUUUAUUUAUUUAUUUUGAGAGAGAGCACGAGUGAGCAGGAGCAGGGGAAGGGGUAGAGAGAGAGGGAGAGAGAGAGUCCCAAGCAGCCUCUUAGCUGUCGGCUCAGAGUCCGAGGCAGGGCUCCAUCCCAGAAACCGCGAGCUCUUGACCUGAGCUGAAAUCAAGAGUCGGAUGCUCAGGUGACUGAGCCACCCAGGAGCCCUAGACU